GCAGAGCCCGAUGAAGAAGGAGGAGGAGGAUAAGAGGUUGGUGGGGAAUCAGAGUAUGUGAAGCAAGAGGUGGAGUAAAACGACGUCGUAGAAGAGGAAGAAGAAGAGGAGAGUGAUGGGAAAGGUAGAAAGGAAGGAGGAAGAUGUGAAGCAAAGGGUAAGAGGUGAAGAGAGUGGCGGUUCUGUAUCAGAAGGAGAUGUCAGCAUUGCAGAGGAAGAAGAGAAUGAAGAAGAAAAAGAAGAGGAGAGUAGUGGAUGAGGAAGCAAAAGAAGAGGUUUACUUCGUAAACCUGAUAGAGUGGGUACGCUGCCAGUAUUUGGGAUGCAAGGAGAACCUUCGUAUUCUUGCAACUAAACAACUCUUAGUGAUUUGUAUUGCGUAGAAGGGGAUAAAGCUGUCUUUCUUAUGGCUGCACUGUCACAUGUGAUAGAUGGAGAUGGCCCACAAAAUUAAACAUCAUCAGUUACGGGGAGCUCCAGAUGACUCUUCACAGAAAGAGAAGUGGUGCAAACAUGGGCAAGAAGGUGAGCAAGUUACUUCAGGUCUUCAUAUUAUCGGCUCACUGGAUUCAGACGAGCUAAAGAAGAAAGGGAAGCGGUAGAAGAAAGGAGGUUCUUGUUCCACUUUCAGAUGCUCUUGUGAAAUUAUUAGGUACCGGUGAAAAUGCAUUAUCUCGGGCUGAUGUUGUAAAGAGAAUGUGGGAUUACAUAAAAACAGAAUGAUCUGCAGGACCCAUCUAAUAAGAGGUGUGAAGAUAAAGCAUAAAGAACCUUUUGAGGUGGACUCCUGCACUGGCUUCACUUUCAAAGCUUCCGACCCCGCAUUUCAACUAGACAGAAUAGGGAGUUAUAAAAUGUGAGCCCAAGACAUAAGAGUUUGUUAUGCAUUUCCUAUUUUAGACCCUUUUCUUCCUUCUUUUGGGGGGCUUUUCUCCAGUGCCAACUGAUCAGUGGGGUUGUGGGGGAGAGCAUCACCUAGAAUUUAUACAGGGACCAUUAGAAGGUGGAUAGAUAAGAAGUAAACUCACACAUUGAAAGCAUGUUUAAGUGCAUUGUCAUCUUUUAGGGAACUCAAGGUCAAGGAGACCUUCAUACUCUGUUUGAUCCUUUUGCAACAGAAUCUAUUUAUCUAAAAUGUGACCAAUUCAUUAUCAA